rnacentral:rRNA from 1 species
AGCAGUGAGGAAUAUUGGUCAAUGGCCGAGAGGCUGAACCAGCCAAGUCGCGUGAAGGAAGAAGGAUCUAUGGUUUGUAAACUUCUUUUAUAGGGGAAUAAAGUGGAGGACGUGUCCUUUUUUGUAUGUACCCUAUGAAUAAGCAUCGGCUAACUCCGUGCCAGCAGCCGCGGUAAUACGGAGGAUGCGAGCGUUAUCCGGAUUUAUUGGGUUUAAAGGGUGCGUAGGUGGUGAUUUAAGUCAGCGGUGAAAGUUUGUGGCUCAACCAUAAAAUUGCCGUUGAAACUGGGUUACUUGAGUGUGUUUGAGGUAGGCGGAAUGCGUGGUGUAGCGGUGAAAUGCAUAGAUAUCACGCAGAACUCCGAUUGCGAAGGCAGCUUACUAAACCAUAACUGACACUGAAGCACGAAAGCGUGGGGAUCAAACAGGAUUAGAUACCCUGGUAGUCCACGCAGUAAACGAUGAUUACUAGGAGUUUGCGAUACAAUGUAAGCUCUACAGCGAAAGCGUUAAGUAAUCCACCUGGGGAGUACGCCGGCAACGGUGAAACUCAAAGGAAUUGACGGGGGCCCGCACAAGCGGAGGAACAUGUGGUUUAAUUCGAUGAUACGCGAGGAACCUUACCCGGGCUUAAAUUGCAACUGACUGAACCGGAAACGGUUCUUUCUUCGGACAGUUGUGAAGGUGCUGCAUGGUUGUCGUCAGCUCGUGCCGUGAGGUGUCGGCUUAAGUGCCAUAACGAGCGCAACCCUUGCCACUAGUUACUAACAGGUAAAGCUGAGGACUCUGGUGGGACUGCCAGCGUAAGCUGCGAGGAAGGCGGGGAUGACGUCAAAUCAGCACGGCCCUUACAUCCGGGGCGACACACGUGUUACAAUGGCAUGGACAAAGGGCAGCUACCUGGCGACAGGAUGCUAAUCUCCAAACCAUGUCUCAGUUCGGAUCGGAGUCUGCAACUCGACUCCGUGAAGCUGGAUUCGCUAGUAAUCGCGCAUCAGCCAUGGCGCGGUGAAUACGUUCCCGGGCCUUGUACACACCGCCCGUCAAGCCAUGGGAGCCGGGGGUACCUGAAGUGCGUAACCGCGAGGAGCGCCCUAGGGUAAAACUGGUGACUGGGGCUAAGUCGUAACAAGGUAGCCGUACCGGAAGGUGCGGCUG